AUUGAACGCUGGCGGCAGGCCUAACACAUGCAAGUCGAACGAGUGGCGGACGGGUGAGUAAUGUCUGGGAAACUGCCCGAUGGAGGGGGAUAACUACUGGAAACGGUAGCUAAUACCGCAUACCAUACGCGGGGCCCAGAUGGGAUUAGCUAGUAGGUGGGGUAAAGGCUCACCUAGGCGACGAUCCCUCGCGGGUCUGAGAGGAUGACCAGCCACCCUGGAACUGAGACACGGUCCCGACUCCUACGGGAGGCAGCAGUGGGGAAUAUUGCACGAUGGGCGCAAGCCUGAUGCAGCCAUGCCGCGUGUAUGACGAAGGCCUUCGGGUUGUAAAGUACUUUCAGCGGGGAGGCGUUACCCGCAGAAGAAGCACCGGCUAACUCCGUGCCAGCAGCCGCGGUAAUUC
rnacentral:rRNA from 1 species